CUUGGACAGACAAGAAUCCGUUGGUCAGUUUGGCAAACGUUAAUUUGAACAUGACUCUUGGAGGACUCCACGUGCACAAUCUCGGACUGGUUCUGACUCAUAGUGCUCUUGUACGAGAAGAAGGAUAUAAGAGGUAGAAGAGUAAACGGAAUGAAAGAAAGGACGAGGAGAGGACGAAGAAGAGGGGAAAAAAGGAAGAAAGCAAGAAACGAAAGAAAGAAAGUCGUGACUCGGCAAACAAACCGCCAGAACCUUGUGCAGGCAUCUAAAAGUCUGCUGGAACUUUUUCAGGCUUUUUAAGGGUCUUUAUGCUGAUUUUAUGGCAUUGGUUUUCGACUGGAACGUCUUCAGGCUCUUGUGAAUUUCUCUCUUGCUCUCUCCCGAUGCUCUCAUGUAUUUCCUCUCUCUCAAUCGUCAGGACCUCAAACCUCGCUACCACCUUAACCUCCAAAAAGAGUAGGUAAGGCCUAAGGUCUACCUGUCUGUCUAGCUACAUUUCUCCUUGUCCGACUGGCUGCUCUGUCAGUACGAUUGUGCAUAUUAUGAUAUUUGCAGACGCAGACAAGUUUCGCACCUUCCACACGAGUAUUUGCCGUGCGACACCUUCGCCACGGAAACCGGCCGCUUAUUUGCUUAUUGACUUAUUUACUCCGACGCCAUGGCGUAGCGUUGUGUACCGUGCUCUCUGUUCGCCCUACGGUGUCCUGAGUGCUUCUCAUACCGGAGGACGCCUGAGGACACGUGAGGAUCCUUUGGAAAUCUCUGACGAUGAGUAUCAACCACAUGACUUAACCCAACCCAACCUUCGCUUCUACUCUAUACUCAAAACGAUCAUUCUUCAUCCUUGACAGCCCUUAUUCGUGUACUCGCCAAAUCCUGAUGCUCCGCGUGUAUACUUUGCCAAUGACUGUACUGAAGCUGUGAAGGCUAUGACCCCUUGACGAGGAAUACUGGCUUUGUAUGAAAACCAAAUUUGCCCAACGCUGUACGGUAUUGAAUUUAGUCACUUUUUUUAUGGUAAAAAUAAUUUUGUUUAACAUUUAAACUACAGAUCAAUCAACGUUAUGUAUAAUAAGAAUUGAUCUGGACACUUCAAAAAUUAAUAGAUACUAAUAGGUAUAGAGUUCUAUGUAAAUAUUGUACUCCGCCUUGAAAUAUAGCUAAAAACGAACACUUUUGGAAAUAAAAAAUUUAUAAUUAAUAAAUGAUAAUACUUCUUGACAAAGUACACAAGCUUGCAUUGGUGUACACAGCUGCGAAUUGCAAGGCGGUUAACAAUGAUCGCAUACCACCUUUAAAGCGUGGUCGACUUUAGUCUGUUCGUUUUCUUUUCAGGAAACUCCACGCUACCUCUUCGUCUAACUAGAUGCAUAACGCAACGUAACGCAAUAGCUUACAGCAACACUCGUUGAAAACUGGCACGCGGCUAACUCUGCCUAUAAGGAAUCAUUGCACGAUCGCUUAUGUCGCUCAGCUUUGCGAUAUAAUCGCUCGCAUAGAAAUACAAGCACAUAAAUAUUCAAGAAAUUAAAUCAGCCACAGUAUUUAAGCCAAUCUAAAAACCGUAAUAAACGCGUGAUAACUUUAUCAGUUUCUAAUACGACCAAUCACAGAAACCUGUCCGUAAUAACAAGAUUCUUCUAAAAAGUCUCGACCGAUCUUCCACUUCAUAUUUACCCGCGCGAAACCGGACCUACGUAAACGUAAACACGCCUAUCUACUAUUCACAAUCUUUAGCCAGGCAGUAGACUACGAUAAAGAAAAAUUGUCAUAUCGUCUUGUGGCUCUCGGCAGGAUCUUGUUAUCUCCCGUAAAUUUUUCCAGAAUCAGAUGCUCAGUAACGCAAGUAGAUCGCACAAGUUCCAACGGCGUCUCGACGCCUUCAUUCCCUGGCUUACAGAGGUCUGCAUGCGACUCUUAAAGCUGCACUGUUGUUUACAGUAUCGGCCAUCAGGGGGAUGACCAUAGGACUCCUGGUCUAGGGAUGGAUUUCAAAAGGUACCACGGAGGUACCCAAGGCAUUCAACUCUGGUCUUGCACCCGUGGAUGUCGAUGUCGACGUGGACGUUGGUGUGGAUGUGGAUGUGGAUGGAGAGACUUGUGCGAGUCUCACAAAAAGACAAGCUAGCACAUGGACGCCGGUUGGCGGUGGCCAGACGCCACGACACGCCACUCCAUUCCACUCGACUGUACUCUACUCUCUACUCUCUCUCUACUCUCCUCUUGAGGCUACAGUGUUACUCUUGGGUCCAGGGUCCAUGGUCCGUGGCCACGAGGAGGACCUGGUUGUUCUGCAGAAUCGUGGACGCCGUGCCCUUUCUAUAUAUACGGGGUUGGAACUGUGUACAGGGGCCCAAGGAGACAGCAUACCUCAUGCAGUCAUGCCACGAGGCCCACGAGUCCUAACUACAAGGUGCUCAACUUUGUUUGCAUCUAACUCUCCAGACGGAUCUGAUCUGGUGCACAGAAAGAGUAAAAACAAAAAGAAAUAUUAGGCCUUAGGUAGUUCAUAAAUUGUCUUUUGUUUAAUUCUUCCCUGAAGCUCUCUUCUGUAUUCUUCUAUAAUCUUCUCACUUCCAUCCACAGUCUCUCGUCGAUUGCCCAUGUCACCAAAACCAAUCAAAAGGAUGAAUCCAUCACUUAAACCUCCAGCAUCAAGCUCGACAAGGGUCUCUCAUCCACUGUCAGCAUAAUCAUCUCAUAAGUAAAGUGACCCGUCAGGAAUGCCACCCGGAAAAAGACUUGGGGCUCGUUUACACGGGAACUUUAUACCCGGCACUUAACGUAGAGGAACCAUCGUUUUCCCAGGAAGUGAGUGUCUCGUCUCGGUUUCAUUGGCUCCGGAGUCCUCGUGACGCGUCGCACAUUAGUCUCCAGCAACGGGCCGACCGGGCUGGUCGGUUCAUGAACCCGGUAGAACCUGGAAGCCAGAACUACCAUGGCUAUCGACAAUAAAUUUUUCCAGCAACUCGACAAGUCUCUCGCACCAGGUUACAUAAAUAUCUAUACAUACCCCUUUAACGAAAUGUAACCAGUUUCGUUUUUCAUUGAAGACCAUCAGCGACCGCAGGCCACCGGCUUACCAGACUUAUCGAGCUUAGGUCGGUUCGAAGCUCGAAAACUUCAUUUAGCUUCUUCCACUGGAUCCCCUCAACUGACUCGUGAACUUUGACUCCGUCGUUCUCUCUCUACCUCUCACUCGUUCUCUCUUUUUAUCUCUGUCCCCUCGCUCCUCUUCCUUCUGUCCAGAUUGAAACUCAAACCUGCAGGUCGCGUGGGCGCUGCUGCGUGCGGUGAAUGACCGGAGGGCAAGGACGCCACAAGGACAUGCGAACGUGUUACGGCUCUGCGCACUCAUACGCCCUUAC